GAUGAACGCUGGCGGCGUGCUUAACACAUGCAAGUCGAACGGAAAGGCUCCUGCUUGCAGGGGUACUCGAGUGGCGAACGGGUGAGUAACACGUGGGUGAUCUGCCCUGCACUUCGGGAUAAGCCUGGGAAACUGGGUCUAAUACCGGAUAGGACCACACUUUGGAUGGUGUGGUGGAAAGUUUUUCGGUGUGGGAUGAGCUCGCGGCCUAUCAGCUUGUUGGUGGGGUAAUGGCCUACCAAGGCGUCGACGGGUAGCCGGCCUGGGAGGGUGUACGGCCACAUUGGGACUGAGAUACGGCCCAGACUCCUACGGGAGGCAGCAGUGGGGAAUAUUGCACAAUGGGCGCAAGCCUGAUGCAGCGACGCCGCGUGGGGGAUGACGGCCUUCGGGUUGUAAACUCCUUUCGCUAGGGACGAAGCGCAAGUGACGGUACCUGGAGAAGAAGCACCGGCUAACUACGUG
rnacentral:rRNA from 1 species